ACUCCUACGGGAGGCAGCAGUGGGGAAUAUUGGACAAUGGGCGCAAGCCUGAUCCAGCCAUACCGCGUGGGUGAAGAAGGCCUUCGGGUUGUAAAGCCCUUUUGUUGGGAAAGAAAUCCAGCUGGCUAAUACCCGGUUGGGAUGACGGUACCCAAAGAAUAAGCACCGGCUAACUUCGUGCCAGCAGCCGCGGUAAUACGAAGGGUGCAAGCGUUACUCGGAAUUACUGGGCGUAAAGCGUGCGUAGGUGGUCGUUUAAGUCCGUUGUGAAAGCCCUGGGCUCAACCUGGGAACUGCAGUGGAUACUGGACGACUAGAGUGUGGUAGAGGGUAGCGGAAUUCCUGGUGUAGCAGUGAAAUGCGUAGAGAUCAGGAGGAACAUCCAUGGCGAAGGCAGCUACCUGGACCAACACUGACACUGAGGCACGAAAGCGUGGGGAGCAAUCAGGAUUAGAUACCCUGGUAGUCCACGCCCUAAACGAUGCGAACUGGAUGUUGGGUGCAAUUUGGCACGCAGUAUCGAAGCUAACGCGUUAAGUUCGCCGCCUGGGGAGUACGGUCGCAAGACUGAAACUCAAAGGAUAUGACGGGGGCCCCCACAAGCGGUGGAGCAUGUGG
rnacentral:rRNA from 1 species